rnacentral:lncRNA from 1 species
GAACGACUUUACUCCGAACUUCUUUCGAACUUCUAUAGUAACUAGACUCCAUCCAAGUUUCUAUGAUGGUCGACCGCCUUUUGGAUUUCAUCCGAACUCCUACAAGGGUCGGGCUCCGUCCGAACUUCUACAACGGAUGGAUUUCAGAUGAAUUCCUACAAAAGCCGGAUCUCUACCCCGAACUUCUAUUGUAGGUGGACUUCAUCCGAACUCCUACAA